AACGCGAAGAACCUUACCUGGGCUCGAAAUGCUGUGGACCAGCUUAUGAAAGUAGGCCUUCCCGCAAGGGGCUGCUGUAUAGGUGCUGCAUGGCUGUCGUCAGCUCGUGUCGUGAGAUGUUGGGUUAAGUCCCGCAACGAGCGCAACCCUCAUCCCUAGUUGCCAUCGGGUCAAGCCGGGCACUCUAGUGAAACCGCCCCGGAUAACGGGGAGGAAGGUGGGGAUGACGUCAAGUCCUCAUGGCCUUUAUGUCCAGGGCUACACACGUGCUACAAUGGUCGGUACAAACCGUCGCGAAACUGCAAAGUAGAGCUAAUCGGAAAAAGCCGGCCUCAGUUCGGAUUGGAGUCUGCAACUCGACUCCAUGAAGCUGGAAUCGCUAGUAAUCGCAGAUCAGAACGCUGCGGUGAAUACGUUCCCGGGCCUUGUACACACCGGCUAC
rnacentral:rRNA from 1 species